rnacentral:rRNA from 1 species
GAUGAACGCUGACAGAGUGCUUAACACAUGCAAGUCAACUUGAAUUUGGGUUUUUAACUUAGGUUUGGGUGGCGGACGGGUGAGUAACGCGUAAAGAACUUGCCUCACAGCUAGGGACAACAUUUGGAAACGAAUGCUAAUACCUAAUAUUAUGAUAAUAGGGCAUCCUAUAAUUAUGAAAGCUAUAAGCGCUGUGAGAGAGCUUUGCGUCCCAUUAGCUAGUUGGAGAGGUAACGGCUCACCAAGGCGAUGAUGGGUAGCCGGCCUGAGAGGGUGAUCGGCCACAAGGGGACUGAGACACGGCCCUUACUCCUACGGGAGGCAGCAGUGGGGAAUAUUGGACAAUGGACCGAGAGUCUGAUCCAGCAAUUCUGUGUGCACGAUGAAGUUUUUCGGAAUGUAAAGUGCUUUCAGUUGGGAAGAAACAAAUGACGGUACCAACAGAAGAAGUGACGGCUAAAUACGUG